AACGAACGCUGGCGGCAGGCCUAACACAUGCAAGUCGAACGCCCGUAGCAAUACGGGAGUGGCAGACGGGUGAGUAACGCGUGGGAACGUGCCCUUCGGUUCGGAAUAACUCAGGGAAACUUGAGCUAAUACCGGAUACGUCCGUAAGGAGAAAGAUUUAUCGCCGAAGGAUCGGCCCGCGUCGGAUUAGCUAGUUGGUGAGGUAACGGCCCACCAAGGCGACGAUCCGUAGCUGGUCUGAGAGGAUGAUCAGCCACACUGGGACUGAGACACGGCCCAGACUCCUACGGGAGGCAGCAGUGGGGAAUAUUGGACAAUGGGCGAAAGCCUGAUCCAGCCAUGCCGCGUGAGUGAAGAAGGCCUUAGGGUUGUAAAGCUCUUUCAGCGGGGAAGAUAAUGACGGUACCCGCAGAAGAAGCCCCGGCUAACUUCGUGCCAGCCGCCGCGGUAAC
rnacentral:rRNA from 1 species